rnacentral:rRNA from 1 species
UCCGUAGGUGAACCUGCGGAAGGAUCAUUAACACAAACUGUGGUUGCGGAUGUGCACGUCGCCUCUUAACCGAGGGUCAACGAUUGCUGCUGCUGCUCCACACUUGGAUCCAAUCCAUUUACCCCUGUGAACUGUUAAAGUCUUUACAUUGUGUUACCAAACGCCUUGUAAUGCACUCUGACUGAAAUCUAUUCUUGACGCUGUAAGUCGCAAGACUUUAACGCCGAUGGAAAAACAUAACCAAAGACAACUUUUAACAACGGAUAUCUUGGUUCUCGCAACGAUGAAGAGCGCAGCGAAAUGCGAUACGUAAUGUGAAUUGCAGGAUUCAGUGAAUCAUCGAAUCUUUGAACGCACAUUGCGCCCUUUGGUAUUCCUUAGGGCAUGCCUGUUCGAGCGUCAUCUUAACCCUCAAGCACUGCUUGGUGUUGGGUGCCUGUCCCGCCCCGCGCGUGGACUCACCUCAAAUCCAUUGGCGGCCCUCACGUCGGCUUCGAGCGCAGCAGAAACGCGAACUCUUGGCCCGGCGGAGCGGCUCCCAGAAGCUACUCUCACCAUUUGGACCUCCGGGGGGAUCAGGGUAGGGGGAU